GUGAUGGGUCGCUCCACCGCGGCGCUUUCGGGCGGCGAGGAAAGUCCGGGCAACGCAGAGCACCCUGCUUCCUAACGGGAAGGAUGGGCCGCAAGGCUCAGACAGCCAGUGCCACAGAAAAUUACCGCCAGACGGUGAAAUGAUGAGUGGUGAAAUGGUGAGUUUGAUGUUCAAUUCGCGCAAGCGGAACGAUAAACUCACAAGUUCACCAUUUCACUAUCUCACCAUCGGGUAAGGGUGAAAAGGUGCGGUAAGAGCGCACCAGCGGCCGGGUGACCGGGUCGGCUGGGUAAACCUCAGGGGUUGAAAGACCAAAUAAGCGGGCACGCUGUCUGGCAACAGGCGGCACCGGGCGGCUCGUCCGGCGUUCGUGGGUAGGUUGAUGGAGCCUGUCGGCAACGACUGGCCUAGAUAAAUGGUGGAGACGCCGAGCCCUCGGGCCCGGUGGACAAAACCCGGCUUAUAGACUCAUCACCCCA
rnacentral:RNase_P_RNA from 2 species